UCUUAGUGGGCCAUUUUUGGUAAGCAGAACUGGCGAUGAGGGAUGCUCCUAAAGUCGAGUUAAGGUGCCUAAAUUGCAAGCAUCAGACACCAUGAAAGGCGUUGAUUCGUUCAGACAAUCGGAACGUGACCCUGAGAGUAGGUAUCGUUUAAAGACCGUUUCCCACCCACCGAUUUAACGAAUCAGCCCUAAAAAUGGAUGGCGCUAUAUUGUAAUACCGACACUCGACCUUCAAGGCAAAAAGCAGCCUUGAAGAGUAAGAAGGCGUGGAAGUAGUGCUGAAGCCGCGACGUGAGUCUAGGUGGAACUGCUUCUAGUGCAGAUCUUGGUGGUAGUAGUAAUUAUUCAAAUGAGAACUUUGAAGACUGAAGCUAGAGACGGGUUCCGUGAGAACAGCAAUUGGUCACGGGUUACUCGAUCCUAAGGCAAGGCGGAAACGCCGCGAAGCAGUGUUCCACUGCGGUGCCGAAAGGGAAUGAGGUUAAUAUUCCUCAAGUUUGCAAUGGAUCCUGUGUGGCAACACAAACAACCUCGGAGACAUCGGCGCGUACCCCUGGAAGAGUUUUCUUUUCUUCUUAACCGCUCGAAGCCAUGGAAUUGGAUUAUCCAGAGAUAUGGCCUUAAGGCGGGAAGAGCGACUCACUCUUGGGUCGGUGGUGCGUUCGCGACGAUCAGUGAAAAUCCGAGCUCGAUACUCAAUCCAUUCAAAAUCGUACCAUAACCGCAUCAGGUCUCUAAGGUUAGCAGCCUCUGGUCAACUAGAAGAAAGUCAUUUAGGGAAUUCGGCAAAAUAGAUCCGUAACUUCGGGAAAAGGAUUGGCUCUGAGGACUGGGCAUGCAUCCCUCUGUCCACGACCGAUUGGACUUGACUGAGGGCCUAGCUCUAGGUCGAGAACGAGGAGUUGGUGACUCUGGGUUUGUAUGCGAUCAUCAGUCAGCUCAGAACUGAAGCGGUCAAGGGGAAUCUAACUGUUUAAUAAAAACAAAGCUUUGUGAUGUCCCGAAAGGGUUUUGACACAAUGUGAUUUCUGCCCAGUGCUUUGAACGUUAACGUGAAGAAAUUCAACUAAGCGCAGGUAAACGGCAGGUGUAACUAUGACACUUUUAAGGUAGCCAAAUGCCUUGCUUAUUAAUUAUAGGCGUGCAUGAAUGGAUCAAUGAGAUUCCCACUGUCCCUAUCUACUAUCUAGCGAACCCACAGCCAAGGGAACGGGCUUGGCAAAAUCAGCGGGGAAAGAAGACCCUGUUGAGCUUUGAAGAAGAGUGGCAUUGUGACGUGGCAAUUGGGAUAUAGUGUAGGUGGGAGGUUCGCCAACAAUGUAACACCACUACUCAUUUCGUCAUUUUACUAAUUCCGUAAAGCGGAAUCCUUCGGGACUUCUUGCACUAAGGUUCGUAAGAACUGAUCUGGGCGGAAGACAGUGUCAUCCGAUUUUCUUGACUGGGGCGGUACAUCCGUUAAAUCAUAACGCGGAUGUCCUAAGGCGAGCUCAAAGAGAACAGAAAUCUCUUGUAGACCAAAAGGGGAAAAGCUCGCUUGAUUUUGAUUUUCAGUACAAAUACAAACUGUGAAAGCAUGGCCUAUAGAUCCUUAAAUUUUACAAGUCUUAAAUUUGAGGUGUCAGAAAAGUUACCACAGGGAUUGACAAACUUGUCCCAGUAGUUGGAUCUCCCCAACUGCUAGUGCGGCCCGCUACUCGGAUGGCGGCCACCGUGCGACACACCUGGAUGCUGGAACCUCCUAAUGAUCGAAUACCAAGCGACUCUUAUCGCGCAGGAUGCGGAGACAUCCGGGUAACAACUUCGGUACAGGGACAACCAGCAAGCGACAAGGCCUCGGCCGCGCGCUUCAACGACUGCAAAGGUGUGGACUCGUCCGCGAGUCUAAGGUACAGUCUAUUCCCGGCAGCAAUGCCGUCUGGCCUAGAAGCCAUCCGAGGCUUCAACUCCAGAGCUCGUAAUCAGCAAGGAAAUGUGCUGAUCAGAGCGGUCUCCAAGAACUGACUUGUGGCGACCCGAGCGUACAGAGCGACGGCGCUUUUUGAUCCUUAACAAACAACGAAUGUUUGGCAAGAAGGAAAACAACAACAUUGCGAAUGCGCUUUCCGCAUAAGCAAAUGUAAAAAUUCUGGAUUGCAUUCAUUAAGGGAUCAACAGGUGGAGUGAAAAGCAUGUGUCCACCUAGUCACUGCAGACCGGCUCUUUGGGGCUGCAGUGGCGACACAACCUG
rnacentral:rRNA from 1 species